GACAGAGGUGCCGAGCGUUAGGCGGAAUCACUGGGCUUAAAGCGUGUGUAGGCGGAUCUGUAAGUACCUUGUGAAAUCCCACGGCUCAACCGUGGAACUGCUUGGUAUACUGCGGGUCUUGAGCCACCUAGGGGCAAGUGGAACAAACGGUGGAGCGGUGAAAUGCGUAGAUAUCGGAAGGAACACCGGUGGCGAAAGCGGCGCGCUGGACCUCUUCUGACGCUGAGGCGCGAAAGCCAGGGGAGCGAACGGG
rnacentral:rRNA from 1 species